rnacentral:rRNA from 1 species
UUCCGGUUGAUCCUGCCGGACCUCACUGCUAUCGGGAUGAGACUAAGCUAUGCAAGUCAAGCGUUUUCGGGCCAAUGCGAGAACGCGGCAUACGGCUCAGUAACACGUGGCUAACUUACCCUUGGGACAGGGACAACCCCGGGAAACUGGGGCUAAUCCCUGAUAGGCGAAUAUGCCUGGAAUGGUUUUUCACUCAAAGGGGAUCGAAGUCAUGCUCUUCGAUCUUGCCCAAGGAUAGGGCCGCGUCCGAUCAGGUUGUUGGUGGGGUAAUGGCCCACCAAGCCGAUAACCGGUACGGGCCCUGAGAGGGGGAGCCCGGAGAUGGGAACUGAGACAAGGUCCCAGGCCCUACGGGGCGCAGCAAGCGCGAAACCUCCGCAAUACGCGAAAGCGUGACGGGGUUAUCCCGAGUGCCGUCCGCUGAGGGCGGCUUUUACUUGGUGUAAGGAGCCGAGAGAAUAAGGGGAGGGCAAGACUGGUGUCAGCCGCCGCGGUAAUACCAGCUCCCCGAGUGGUGAGGAUGAUUAUUGGGCCUAAAGCGUCCGUAGCCGGUUUGGUAAGUCUCCCGUCAAAUCUACCGACUUAAUCGGUAGGCCGCGGGAAAUACUGCUAAACUAGGAGGCGGGAGAGGUCGGCGGUAGUCCCGGGGUAGGGGUAAAAUCCUAUAAUCCUGGGAGGACCACCAGUGGCGAAGGCGGCCGACCAGAACGCGCUCGACGGUGAGGGACGAAAGCUGGGGGAGCGAACCGGAUUAGAUACCCGGGUAGUCCCAGCCGUAAACGAUGCGGGCUAGUGUUGGUACGGCUACGUGCCGUUUCAGUGCCGCAGGGAAGCUGUUAAGCCCGCCGCCUGGGGAGUACGGCCGCAAGCUGAAUCUAGAGAGUGAAUGAUCCCGACCGUUCGGUAUACGACUCUCUGACAGCAGACUUAAAGAUGGCCGGGGAGCAC